rnacentral:lncRNA from 1 species
UUUUAUCACAGAACUUUUAAUUUAUUCUCAUCAAAAGCACUCUAUUCAACUUAAUUAGGCAUUUUUUUCAAUCAUAUAUCACUGUUAGGUACACACAUGAAAAGAAAACAUAAAUGGGCCAGUUCCAGUGGCUUAGUGGUGAAGUUUGGUGCUCUCCGCUUUGGUGGCCCAGGUUCAGUUCCCAGGCAUGGACCUACACCAUUCAUCUGUCAGUGGCCAUGCUGUAGCAGCGGCUCAUGUACAAAAAGGGGAAGAUUGGCAGUAGAUAUUUGCUCGGGGCAAAUCUUCCUCAGCAAAGAAAGAAAGAAAGAAAGAAAACAUAAGCAAAACUAAUUGCUUAAGUCUCUAAAACUUCUUCACAUUCAGAAUCCAACUCUUCUGAAUCACCUUUACUCUGAGUGGCUGGUGGCCAGGUCAUUUUCAUGUAACAUUGCCCUCUGUGACAUCAAGAGCACAGAUGAUGCUACAUUCCUUCUAAGAGGGCUCCACUACCAUCUCUGGGAUUUUCUUCGGAGCUGCUGACACCCAUUUUGCAAGUUUUGAUUCUGGACUUUCUUGGUCUCACCAGAAGGUGUCAAUGGAAGAUUUACAGACAAGAACCCAGGAGUCCUUCUUCAAAUGGCCCCUAACUGGUUUGUGGCUAGAACAUGGCAGGGCUCAUGUUGUCCGGAAAAGCCACCAGGAAGAACAAUCCCCUUCUGGCACAGGCAGGCAGCAGUACCCACAUCGCGACUGUUACAUCUCCAACAGUCAUUGUGAUGAUGUCACGCCUGGUGAAAUCGCAUCCCGAUUUCAGAGACAGGAACGUGUGGAAAACCUCAAAAGGGAUGAACUUCAGUUGCUGGGUGACUGCGCUCUCGUGUGCUCUGGGCUAACUAGACUCACGCAGUUCUAGAAGCUGUAGGGAGAACCGACUCCCCCUGCUUGGUGGCAGAGGUGGCCUUUGAGCAGCAGCCUGAAGCAUAAAGAGGAAUGCACCACAAAGCCAGGGGAAGGCACUCCGGGCUGAAGGACCAGCCUGUGCCGUACAUGGAAGCAUGAAGAAUCCUGGCACCCCUGGCACCAGGACUCGAACCGGCAUAGGACCCACGACAGGGCAGGCAAUGAACAAAGGGAUGAAUGAAUUCAGCUAGUGGUAACAAACCUAGAACCAGAAGUCAAACCUCCUGACGCUUCCUUCCUGCCUCCCCCAGCCCAUGCUCAAGCUUACCUCUGAUCAAAAGGACAAUCGCCCUUUGUUAUUUACCUGGAAUUCUCUCGGAAUAUUCACCCAGAAUCCUCUUGGGUUGCUCACCCAGAAUCCUGGCUCCUCAUCUCAGAAAGUAGAACUUUCAGAACACCAAUCAAAGGCAUUUUGAGGGCAAAGGCGUGAAAAUCCUCGUUGCUAAGGCAGCUUUGCCAACUUCACUGGAUGAGGGUCUCCAGCUGUGAAAAGGAGCAUAGAAUUAAGACAGCCUUCAGUCCUCAACACCACCUCCAGCCCUGCGUUCCCACAUAAUGGUCACCGGGAGAUAUUAGCAUCUAAAUUAUUUUAAGGAGAUAUAAUAAGAUUCACCCAGCAGGCCAUUAAUGACGAAAGAGAUUAUUACUGGAAAAAAUCCAAGACUGACUUUGAGCAGAGUUGGUUCAUCUAAAUGACCCUUUCCCUGCACCUCAGAUGAUCCUGGUCCCCAGAGAUUAUACAGAUUUGAAAAAAGAAGCUGCCAUGGAACACGCGCACGCUUAUGCAAGAGGGUCUUACGGAAGGAAUCUCUGGAGAAUUAGGGUCAGGAGUGCGUAGCAGCGAGAUAAAUGAGAUGUUCCUUGAAUCGUAAGAAUCCACUGUGGCAGAAUUUACAGGAAGCAUCUCCAGUCUCCAGAUUUGGCAGGCAUCCAGCCAGAGUUGUCAAGUAUUAGAUUAAUUUUAAUUCAAUGCAAAAAACCACAUUAGUGUAGUGUUGCGAUUGAGAGUUGAAACAUACAAAAGCCAAGAGUCCUUGAAGUGAAUCAUUCCAGAGCCUGAGCGUCAUUUCAAGCGUCCAUCAAAAAGGCACGUUCUUCAGAGCAUUCCCCAGCCAUCCGCCACCUUCAAAUCGUACCCACUUAGCCAGGUAAAUGAGCCACUUGGCAGUGAUGGAGCUGUUGAUUAAUGUCACUUCACAGGUCCUGGUCACAGGAGUUAAAGUUCAAACUCCUGACAUGGCAUUCAAGACCCUCCAUGAUCUAGCUUCGAAUGCCCUCCACAACCCCAUCUCUCAGUACAACCCUCCACGUUUUGCAGGCUGCAGCCACACCCGCCCUUUGACCACCAUUGGUAAUCUUCCUGCCACCCUUAACUUGCACUCCUUGCUCAAUCUAUUCCACUCAGAGCCCUGGAAGGGAGCAGCCCAAAAUAUUAUGCCUUACCAGAGUGCCCCCUCCUCCAAGCCCCGGCUUAUUGUUGAUGGGGAGCAGAGUCACAAGUGAUCCGGCACCAGCCCCAAGCCUGCAUUCCUCACUCCGCGAUGCCAAGGCCCUGCAGCUACCCCGACCAGCCUCCUUAGAAGGCAGUUUGGAGACCAUCUCUUGUUCCUUCAGCAGACCCCUUGUGUUCUCAGCUCCCACCAACAAGCAGCUUAUCAAAGUACUCCUUCAUUGUCUCAUCCAAGAAGAUUUCUAAAAACAUGCCCUUUUCUCCAUCAGGUUACAGGUCCAAAGAUGCCCCUUAUACAAGUGCCAUCUGCCCAGCUGCCCCACCCAUAAUCCAGCCCUGGGUGCCUUGGCGGGGGAGGGCUGGCCUGACCCAGCUGGACCUCGUGGCGUCCAGGGGAGCUUGGGGUGGCCUCACCUAAGACUGUGGAACACUAGAAGCAGGGGUGAGCUCAGCAGAAGCCAUGGGGGAGGUCGAGGUCCGAGUGCCCCUGGAGGAGAGUCAGGUAAGCUGUGACUCUAAGAGGAGCAAGAGGGAGGGUGGGCUGAGCACAGUGGUCUUCUUGUCUUCUCCUUGCAGAAGUGAGAGAAAUCUCAGAGGUCACCAAGUCCAAGCUGGAGGAACCCCUAAAGCCUCCACUGGUCCCCUCCAGUGACCAGAAAAGGAGAAGGGCACUCACAUCCAUUGAGACCUACUACGUGCCGUGCACAGGACUAGAUGCUUCACGCACAGUGCCCAGCCACGAUUCCCAACAGCCCUGUGGACUUGAUUCCGUUGUUCCUGAUUUAAGGAUAGGACAGAGUUGAAACUGAGGCUUGGAGAGAUUAAGUGACUUGCCCAGGGCCCCUCUAUUGGAGCCAGGAUUUGACUCCAAAGUCCAUGCUCUUCUCCAAUGCACCCUAAAUUUUUUAGUUAAACACUUAUGAACCACUUACGACGUGUUAAGUUUUGCAUUCGACAUUUUCACUUGCAGUUACCACAUUCAGUCUUCAGGACCACCUGCAAGGUUAGUAUCAUAGUCCAUUUUACAGAUGAGGAACCAAGGUCCAGAAAAAUCAAGCACUGCGUGCAAGCAGUAAGUGGUGGAGCCAAGAUUUGAACCCAGAUUUGUUGAUCAAGUCCAGCCCUCCCCCCAUGAUUCCCGAGCUGAUGGAAAGCAGCUCACGAUCUCACAGCAGAACAGCCUAAAUUGGAGAAGCUCCGACUGAAAAUUACAAAACACUUGGAAGGGAGAUUACAUGGCUGUCAGCCAGCUCAGGUGGGUAUUGGAAUCCAAGACUCAGAAGAACCGAAUGACACAGAUGCCCAUUCUUAAACUAGCAUUCCAGAUGGAAGGGGCUAUUUGGCCCCCAUGAGUAAUAUGCUGCUAUGAGAAGGGCAGGUGAAGGUAUGAGCAAGUCAGCUUUCCUACUUGGGUCUCAAUUGUCCCAUCUGUGUAAGAGCUGGGGGAAAAUGAGCCCCGAGCUUGGCAGGAAAUAACCAAGUAAUGUGCCCCAUUCUCCCUUCCCACAUCCAUGGCAGACAUUGCUAAUGGAACAGUACAUCUUUCCUCCCAACACAGCCUCCAGAUAGUUCUCAACAGCGUUCCCAGCAAUCGCUACAGACUAUUUGAUUAUUAAACUAUUUGCCAGCCCUAGAUAUGCUCUGUUUCCGAGUAGACGUGGAAGUAGACAGCAUAUUCACCUUUCAGCCCCGAGGGCCGGCUGCAUCUUUCUCACAUGGCAGCUCUGACUCUGACCCUCCUCUUUCACUUCUAAGAACAAUCCUGAUUACAUCAGGCCACCUGGAUAACCCAGGAUACUCUCUGCACUUCAAGAUCUUUAAUUUAAUCACACCCGCAAAGUCACUUCUGCCACAUAAAGUGACAUAUUCACAGGUCCUGAGGAUUAGAACGUGGACAUCUUUGGGGGCCACGAUUCUGCCCAUCACAGAGACCUCAUGGGAUUGUGUCUAAGGAUUAGAUGGAACAACGCAUGUAAACAGCUGAAACCCAAUGCCCGGCACUUGGAAAGCAACACCAAGUGAGACAGCACUGGCCUCCCACAGGCCCUGGCAUAAAGUGGGCUCCCAGGAAACGUUCCAGGAAAGGCUGAGGAAGGGCACCAUCGUGCAGCUCUCAGGGAGCAGGCACAGCAUUGGGCAUGGGUCCCACAGCUCCGACUCUCAGCACAGAGGUGGGGCCCCCCGGCUACCUUCACAGUUGGUCCAAGAUUAUCCACCGUCAGCCCACUGGGCUGGGCAGGGCUGGGGAGGCUGAGCAGCGUGGCCCCCGCCUCCUGCUCCCUGUUAAGAUGCCAGUCUUCUGGAGGAAAUGUUCGACGUGAACAAUUAACCUGCAUGUGCAAGAGCCACGCUUGGAGCAGAGCAGGAACUUGGUCUGCAUUUCUUUCUCUGCCCAAAUGCAUGACUGGGUUGUCACCCACUGGCCUGGAAAAUUUCCGUUUAGCAGCAUCACUCUCUUCUGUUGGGAGAACUAGCCCGGGGCAGAGACUCGACACACCUUUGCUCUCUGAGCUCCACUCAAUGCAUCUUCAUGAGACUGAAGAGCAAGGGUAGAAACCAGAAACCCAGAAUACCUUCACUGCUUCCUCUUGCAAUAUUGGGGCUGUGGGGCAGGCUAACGUAUUGAGUGGUUGAGUUGCAAGUACUCUCCUUCUGCUCUCCUGUCUCACGUGGGCCAUGACGGUGGCCAGGCCCUUCAGGCCCCCUCCUUUCCUUGGUGAGGUUUGUUUGACAACAAGAGGUCCAGAAAGGGGGCAGAGGUUGCCAGCAAAACAAUUCCCUUCCUGGUUUUUGUUUCUUAAACCCUGAACUCUUUGAAGAAGAGAGUCUGGGGUUAUCUCCCUGCCCAUAUUAUCCAGCCUCACUUCUUUCCAGUUCCGUCACACAAGGUGCAUGCAUACGUAGACAUAGACACACACACAUCAACACACACAAUGCAUACACACGCACACAUGUACGUGUGUACACAUAUGUGUUCGUACCCACACAUGCAUAUGCAUGUGUGCACACAUAUUCGUGUGUGAUAGUGCACAUGUAUGUGUGUGCAUGUAUACAUAUGCACACGUGCAUGCAGGUUCGUGUGCGCAUGCAUGUACAAACACACAGCCACAGGUGUGUGGGCAUGCAUGCAUGCACAUAUAUGCAUAUUGAACUGCUUCAGUUCCUGAACUCAUGCUUUCUCCUCUCCCACCUCACACUGCCUGCCCCCAAGGCCUUUAUAACUGCUGCAUCCCCUUUCUGGAACAUUCUUUACCCUCUACCCUUUUUUACCUAGCUACCUCUUCAUCUUAUACCAGGUCCACACUUGAACUUUGAGCACGUGGUAUUGUAACUGCCUGUUUACUCGUCUGCCUGAGCAACAAAAUACACAAGUCUAGCCGGCUCACCUUUAUAUUCCUGGUACUUAGCAUGGGCUUCUUAUGACUGUUUGUGAAAUGAAAGGGUGAGUAGAUGGAUGAAUGGAU